GAUGAACGCUGGCGGCGUGCCUAAUACAUGCAAGUCGAGCGAACAGACGAGGAGCUUGCUCCUCUGACGUUAGCGGCGGACGGGUGAGUAACACGUGGAUAACCUACCUAUAAGACUGGGAUAACUUCGGGAAACCGGAGCUAAUACCGGAUAAUAUAUUGAACCGCAUGGUUCAAUAGUGAAAGACGGUUUUGCUGUCACUUAUAGAUGGAUCCGCGCCGCAUUAGCUAGUUGGUAAGGUAACGGCUUACCAAGGCAACGAUGCGUAGCCGACCUGAGAGGGUGAUCGGCCACACUGGAACGUAGACACGGUCCAUACUCCUACGGGAGGCAGCAGUAGGGAAUCGUCCGCAAUGGGCGAAAGCCUGACGGAGCAACGCCGCGUGAGUGAUGAAGGUCUUCGGAUCGUAAAACUCUGUUAUGAGGGAAGAACAAAUGUGUAAGUAACUAUGCACGGCUUGACGGUACCGAAUCAGAAAGCCACGGCUAACUACGUG
rnacentral:rRNA from 1 species